AUUGAACGCUGGCGGCAGGCUUAACACAUGCAAGUCGAACGAGUGGCGGACGGGUGAGUAAUGAUUGGGAACCUAGCUUAUGGAGGGGGAUAACUACUGGAAACUGUAGCUAAUACCGCAUACCAUCGGAUCAGCCCAAGUGGGAUUAGGUAGUUGGUGGGGUAAAGGCUCACCAAGGCGACGAUCCCUAGCUGGUCUGAGAGGAUGACCAGCGACACUGGGACUGAGAAACGGCCCAGACUCCGACGGGAGGCAGCAGUGGGGAAUAUUGGGCAAUGGGGGAAACCUGAUGCAGCCAUGCCGCGUGAAUGAAGAAGGCCUUCGGGUUGUAAAGUACUUUCGGUAGCGAGGCGUUAGCUACAGAAGAAGCACCGGCUAACUACGUGCCAGCAGCCGCGGUAAUUC
rnacentral:rRNA from 1 species